rfam:Monosiga brevicollis mitochondrion, complete genome.
AGGUAUUUAGUUCAGUGGUAGAACACCUAUCUUACACGUAGGGGGUCAAUGGUUCAAGUCCAUUAAUACCUA